CGCGGGGUGGAGCAGUUGGCAGCUCGUCGGGCUCAUAACCCGAAGGUCGCAGGUUCGAGUCCUGCCUCCGCAA
rfam:Paeniclostridium sordellii ATCC 9714 gcs9714.contig.79, whole genome shotgun sequence.